rnacentral:rRNA from 1 species
UACGUAGGGUGCGAGCGUUGUCCGGAAUUAUUGGGCGUAAAGGGCUCGUAGGCGGUUUGUCGCGUCGGGAGUGAAAACCUCGGGCUUAACUCGGGGCUUGCUUUCGAUACGGGCAGACUAGAGGUAUGCAGGGGAGAACGGAAUUCCUGGUGUAGCGGUGAAAUGCGCAGAUAUCAGGGGGAACACCGGUGGCGAAGGCGGUUCUCUGGGCAUGAUCUGACGCUGAGGAGCGAAAGUGUGGGGAGCGAACAGG